UUUGGCAUCAAAGCAACAAUAAGGGCAAAAAUGUUUUGCCCCUUUCUCUUCCAUUCUUCAGAUAAAUAAGGGAUGGUUUUUUGAUUACUGCUUAUCCGUUUUUCUGAAAAAUAAUCACUUGUCACUCAAGUUUUGGUUGAAAAAGGUUAAUUCAAGUUUGGUUGAAGAUUGCAGUCCUGAAGAACAUUGCUUUGGACGAAUUUUGUAAUAGCUUCAAAAGAGUGCAAAGAGUACAAGAUCUUUCUCAAUGGACCAAGCUCGGAUUUACAAAGUGGGUGAAGACCUUUUGGAACCAUUUCAAGAGCCUUGGCAAAAGUUGAAGAUGGGAGAAGGGAUCUUAAACUCCAACGGCACCUCACUUAAAGGGCAUAGUUUUAUUUUACACUCCAAAAGCUACACUCAAAGAGCGUCUAUUCCUUGGCUUUCAUUAAGGGCAAUUUGAUCCUUUUGUGUAAUAACUAUAAAUAGAUAUUUAGGCUUCUAUUUCUCAUUAGUUUGUGAUGAAUAUUGAGUGAACUUAUUUUUUAGACUUCUUUCUUCUCUCUAGGAGUAGAAACCGUAACUAGGGUUAGCUUAAGUGUGGAUUCACUUGAGUUGACAAUUUGGCUUAGAAACAUUGAUGCUUUGGGGUACUUCGAGUCCCUUUUGUGUCAACGUAAGAGCGUGGUGUUUCAAUUACAAGCUUUGGUGGGUCUUGGUGUUUGAUGCACACCUUGGUUCCUUUGGUAUUGUAGUUGUUAUGUCUCACUAACUAUCUUUUCAUUUAUGCAAGUUUUUGUGUGUUAGCUUCCAAA